rnacentral:lncRNA from 1 species
CUCAAGGCGAGAAAGGACAGUGGAAUGGACCAACACCUUAGUCGCAUCUGGCAUUAAGUAGGGGCGGAUGUGCCCAAUGUUUUUGAGAUGGAAAUGACAGGAUUUGGCAAAAGAUUGAACAUGAGGCUUGAAGGAGAGGUCGGAGUCAAAGAGAACACCUAGGCAGCGAGCCUGCGUGGUGGAGCUGAUGGUAGCACCGUUGACUUGGAGGGAGAC